AUGGGCCGUAGCAGGAACCGCGGAGCAGUGGCUGGGACAGCAGGGAUGAGCAGACACCAGAGUACCCAAGGAAACGUAUCAGAAACUCUACAGCUGUAGCAGGCUCGCCCACAGUAGGAUACGCAAAGGAUGGACAAAAGCUCCAUCAUGGCAGCAAAUCCUCUGGGCAGCGACUACAGACCAGCUGUACCUACUCCAAUGCCAAGAGUGAGAGGAGCCUAGCCCAGCCCCUCGCCACCCGGCCAAAAUCUCAUGGCAUCUUUGCCCUUCCAAAGAGAAAACCUCCCAGGUCAAAGGCUUCUGAAGGGGAGAUCUGCAAGUGCUGGAUUUCAGAUGUUCUUUUGGGAAUCACUUGCUAAGACAUAGG